rnacentral:ncRNA from 1 species
CAAAGGCUUGGUCCUGACUUUACUGUCAACUGUAGCUAAACUUACACAUGCAAGUAUCCGCACCCCCGUGAGAAUGCCCCACAGCUCCCUGCCCGGGAGCAAGGAGCUGGUAUCAGGCUCUUUUCUUAAGAAAUAGCCCACGACACCUUGCUUAGCCACACCCUCAAGGGAUCUCAGCAGUGAUAAACAUUAAGCCAUAAGCGAAAGCUUGACUUAGUUAAAGCUUAGAGGGCCGGUAAAACUCGUGCCAGCCACCGCGGUUAUACGAGAGGCCCAAGCUGACAGCUACCGGCGUAAAGAGUGGUUAAUAACCCCGCCAUACUAAAGCCGAACAUCUCCAAAGUUGUACAACGCACUCGAAGACAUGAAGACCUGCCACGAAAGUGACUUUACACUCUUUGAACCCACGAAAGCUAAGAAACAAACUGGGAUUAGAUACCCCACUAUGCCUAGCCCUAAAAUUAGAUAGAACACUACCUACACCUAUCCGCCCGGGUACUACGAGCACCAGCUUGAAACCCAAAGGACUUGGCGGCGCUUCACACCCACCUAGAGGAGCCUGUUCUAGAACCGAUGACCCCCGUUCAACCUCACCUUCUCUUGUUCUCCCCGCCUAUAUACCGCCGUCGUCAGCCCACCCUGUGAAGGCCCAGUAGUGAGCAGAAUUGGCAUAGCCCAAAACGUCAGGCCGAGGUGUAGCGUAUGAGAAGGGAAGAAAUGGGCUACAAUUGCUUAAACAGCUAAAACGAAUUGUAACGCUGAAAAUGCAGACAUGAAGGAGGAUUUAGAAGUAAGAGGGCAAACAGAGUGUCCCCCUGAAAUGGUUCUGAAGCGUGCACACACCGCCCGUCACUCUCCCCAAGUUAGAAUAUUACCUAGUAACUAAACACUUAACCCUACAAAGGGGAGGCAAGUCGUAACAUGGUAAGUGUACCGGAAGGUGCACUUGGAAGAAAC